rnacentral:rRNA from 1 species
UACGGGGGGGGCAAGCGUUGUUCGGAAUUACUGGGCGUAAAGGGCUCGUAGGCGGCCAACUAAGUCAGACGUGAAAUCCCUCGGCUUAACCGGGGAACUGCGUCUGAUACUAGAUGGCUUGAGGUUGGGAGAGGGAUGCGGAAUUCCAGGUGUAGCGGUGAAAUGCGUAGAUAUCUGGAGGAACACCGGUGGCGAAGGCGGCAUCCUGGACCAAUUCUGACGCUGAGGAGCGAAAGCCAGGGGAGCAAACGGG